rnacentral:rRNA from 1 species
UACAGAGGUCUCAAGCGUUGUUCGGAUUCAUUGGGCGUAAAGGGUGCGUAGGCGGCGCGGUAAGUCGGGUGUGAAAUCUCGGAGCUUAACUCCGAAACUGCAUUCGAUACUACCGUGCUUGAGGACUGGAGAGGAGACUGGAAUUUACGGUGUAGCGGUGAAAUGCGUAGAUAUCGUAAGGAAGACCAGUGGCGAAGGCGGGUCUCUGGACAGUUCCUGACGCUGAGACGCGAAAGCUAGGGGAGCGAACAGG